UAUAGCUCAGUUGGUAGAGUGCUUGCCUCGCAUGCACAAGGCCCUAGGUUCAAUCCCUAGUGGAAAAA